UGGGGAAUUUUGGACAAUGGGGGCAACCCUGAUCCAGCAAUGCCGCGUGUGUGAAGAAGGCCUUCGGGUUGUAAAGCACUUUUGUCCGGAAAGAAAACCGCUUCUCUAAUACAGGGGCGGGAUGACGGUACCGGAAGAAUAAGCACCGGCUAACUACGUGCCAGCAGCCGCGGUAAUACGUAGGGUGCAAGCGUUAAUCGGAAUUACUGGGCGUAAAGCGUGCGCAGGCGGUUCGCUAAGACCGAUGUGAAAUCCCCGGGCUUAACCUGGGAACUGCAUUGGUGACUGGCGGGCUAGAGUAUGGCAGAGGGGGGUAGAAUUCCACGUGUAGCAGUGAAAUGCGUAGAGAUGUGGAGGAAUACCGAUGGCGAAGGCAGCCCCCUGGGCCAAUACUGACGCUCAUGCACGAAAGCGUGGGGAGCAAACAGGAUUAGAUACCCUGGUAGUCCACGCCCUAAACGAUGUCAACUAGUUGUCGGGUCUUCAUUGACUUGGUAACGAAGCUAACGCGUGAAGUUGACCGCCUGGGGAGUACGGUCGCAAGAUUA
rnacentral:rRNA from 1 species